UAGGCUAUAGGCCAGACUCAGGCCUCAAAAAUUCAUCGUAGGCUAGGCUCAGGCCUUUUGAAGCCUAGCCUAUUCCCAUCCCUAGUAAUUGUUAUUUGUAUUUGAUGAUGAUUAGAUACUGAUAUACUAAUACAUUUAUUGUUGUUUGGUUCUGAUAGUGGACAGGUACUAUCCUGCACACUCUAGGAAAAUUACUGCUUACAGUUUUUGUGUUAUUUGAAUGAGGUUGAAGAUGAAAGGUCCAUCGUUAUUCUUUUGACACAUGCCAGGAUCAAGGAAGCCCAGGGUUAGUGUAAUGUGAAAUUUCUCAAUUUUCAUUACUAAAUAAUGUUUUUUUUUUGUCUGAUCUACAGGAUCAUAUCCGCCGUCAGUCAGUAAUUCUUUCAGGGCGUCUAAACUCAUGAUCAACGAGCUUGUGCUGGAAAUCCAAGAAUUCAGAGAGAGGCUUUUAGAUUUAGGGAUUGAGGUUAGAUCAGUUUUGACAUAGAUGGUGCUAUCCGGCUUGCGGUCAAUGUCACAAAAAAAUUGACAUAGAAACUGUGCCAUUCACAUGUCCAUGUGGCAAAGACAACGAUCAACCUGUACUAAGGUAUAGAGUUGAAGUGAUGCUUAAUCACAAGGGCGAACAGACCAAAUUUUUGCUCUAAGAUCGUGAAUGUGCAGAGUUAAUUGGUCAAUCGGCGGAUGAAGUCAACGAGCUCAAA